CCUACGGGAGACAGCAGUGAGGAAUAUUGGUCAAUGGCCGCAGGGCUGAACCAGCCAAGUCGCGUGAGGGAUGACGGUCCUAUGGAUUGUAAACCUCUUUUGUCAGGGAGCAAAGUGCGCCACGUGUGGCGCUUUGCGAGUACCUGAAGAAAAAGCAUCGGCUAACUCCGUGCCAGCAGCCGCGGUAAUACGGAGGAUGCGAGCGUUAUCCGGAUUUAUUGGGUUUAAAGGGUGCGCAGGCGGAAUGUCAAGUCAGCGGUAAAAUUUCGGGGCUCAACCCCGUCGUGCCGUUGAAACUGGCGUUCUUGAGUGAGCGAGAAGUAUGCGGAAUGCGUGGUGUAGCGGUGAAAUGCAUAGAUAUCACGCAGAACUCCGAUUGCGAAGGCAGCAUACCGGCGCUCAACUGACGCUCAUGCACGAAAGCGUGGGUAUCGAACAGGAUUAGAUACCCUGGUAGUC
rnacentral:rRNA from 1 species